rnacentral:antisense_RNA from 22 species
CUUGAUCGAGCCCAGCCACAGCGGCUCGGUGCGGUCCUGACCGUAGGUGGCCAGCAGCGCCUGCGCCUC